GAUGAACGCUGGCGGCGUGCCUAAUACAUGCAAGUCGAGCGAACAGAUGAGGAGCUUGCUCCUCUGACGUUAGCGGCGGACGGGUGAGUAACACGUGGAUAACCUACCUAUAAGACUGGGAUAACUUCGGGAAACCGGAGCUAAUACCGGAUAAUAUAUUGAACCGCAUGGUUCAAUAGUGAAAGACGGUUUUGCUGUCACUUAUAGAUGGAUCCGCGCCGCAUUAGCUAGUUGGUAAGGUAACGGCUUACCAAGGCAACGAUGCGUAGCCGACCUGAGAGGGUUGUCGCACUGCCUGGAACUGACGCUCAGUCCCGACUCCUACGGGAGGCAGCAGAGGGGAAUCCUCCACCAUUGUCGAAAGCCUGACGGAGCAACGCCGCGUGAGUGAUUAAUGACUUCCGUCCGUAAUACCCUUUUAUGGGCGAUGAGCAAAUGUCUUAGUGCAUAAGCGCGUCUUGACGUUCCCUAUUCAGAAAGCCCCGGCUACCUACCUG
rnacentral:rRNA from 1 species